GACGGACGCUGGCGGCGUGCCUAAUACAUGCAAGUCGAGCGGAAUGAUGAAGAAGCUUGCUUCUUCCGAUUUUAGCGGCGGACGGGUGAGUAACACGUGGGCAACCUACCUUGUAGAUUGGGAUAACUCCGGGAAACCGGGGCUAAUACCGAAUAACCCAUUUUGCUUCAUGGCGAGAUGUUGAAAGACGGUUUCGGCUGUCACUACAAGAUGGGCCCGCGGCGCAUUAGCUAGUUGGUAGGGUAAUGGCCUACCAAGGCGACGAUGCGUAGCCGACCUGAGAGGGUGAUCGGCCACACUGGGACUGAGACACGGCCCAGACUCCUACGGGAGGCAGCAGUAGGGAAUCUUCCACAAUGGACGAAAGUCUGAUGGAGCAACGCCGCGUGAGUGAAGAAGGUUUUCGGAUCGUAAAACUCUGUUGUAAGGGAAGAACACGUACGAGAGUAACUGCUCGUACCUUGACGGUACCUUAUUAGAAAGCCACGGCUAACUACGUG
rnacentral:rRNA from 1 species